UACAGAGGGGGCAAGCGUUGUUCGGAAUUACUGGGCGUAAAGGGCGCGUAGGCGGCCUGCUAAGUCGAACGUGAAAUCCCCGAGCUCAACUCGGGAACUGCGUCCGAUACUGGAUGGCUUGAGUUCGGGAGAGGGAUGCGGAAUUCCAGGUGUAGCGGUGAAAUGCGUAGAUAUCUGGAGGAACACCGGUGGCGAAGGCGGCAUCCUGGACCGACACUGACGCUGAGGAGCGAAAGCCAGGGGAGCAAACGGG
rnacentral:rRNA from 1 species